UUAAGAAUUCACUGGAUGAGUGUAACAGCAGAAUAGAUGCAGCAGCAAGCAGGAUGAAUGAACUUGAAACAAAUCAAUAGAAAACAGCACACUGGGCAGGGAACAGUGGCUCAUGCCUGUAAUCCCAGCACUUUGGGAGGCCAAGGCAGAAAGAUCACAAGGUCAGGAGUUUGAGACCAGCCUGGCCAACAGGGUUCAGGACUGGGCUUGUCUUAGUGAGUAUGAACCAACGAAAUUGAGGAGAGAUUUGCUUAGAGCUUCUGGGAAAGAGAAGUCAAUGUCUGCCUGUGUUUCUCCCUCCUUCUCCUGCUACCCCUAUCACUUGGGGAAUAGUGAAGCAUGUUGCUCUGUUACAACUGGCAGCUGUCUUAGAACCAUGAAGGGAAACAGCCUUGCAAUGAAGCUCUCGGCCAAAUGGUGAGAUCUCAGCAGAUGAGUGAGACAGAAAGAUCCCGAGUGCCUGAAGACAGGCUCGCACUGAUUCAUCAAUCUUAAAGCUCACAUCAUUGUCUCUGAAUGACUACUUAAAAUCCUGUGAACCUGGAUGCACUCUAUUCCCUGCAGCAGUGGCAACACACUGACUACACUCCUGUGGUGAAGGAAUGGUCAUCCAGGAGCCAGCAAGUCAAGCAGAUGAGAAACAGGACUAACCAAGCCAGGAGUCAGCCCAGACAGCCCCGGGAUAUUGACUCUGAGUGGCCAAAUUCCUUCCAUUUGAACCACAAAUGCUGAUAAAAUAUUUUCAGGAACAGAGUGAGGGAAUGUACUUCACUCACUUCCCAAAAUGUAGACUUGAAGAGGUCAAAUCCUAUUUAAUCCAGGCUGAGAAAAUAAUGCCCAACUUUAUCCCAGAGCUAAAUUUAGGCACUGAGAUCUGGCCCUUGGCAAGUUAAUUUAGAUGAGCUAAUGGUUGUUCCUGGCAUAAGGGAUACACUCAAUAAAUGGUAACUAUUAUUGUUACUGCAAAAA